UCAAGCCCUGAAUAAAUUUGUGUGUGUGUGAGGUCUAUUUCCGGAUUGAGCUUGGUAGAAAGUGUUAGGUAUGAACCGACAAGAAUGGUAUCCCAUGUAGUUCUAGUCCACGCUUUUUGGGCUAGAUAGGACUAGGUGGGAGUUUUACUUUGGGUUUGGGAAUGUGUUUGGAAUAAAAAUGAGAAAGAAAGACAAGUGUUAUUGUUCUUAGGAGAUGGAAGUGAAACAGAAAAGAAUAUCAUGUUAGUCUAGUAAAGGAAUUGGGAAGCUUGAAAAUAAAAGAAGUUAGGCUCUGUGCAAAGUAAAAAGAAAGGCAAAAGCCUAGAGUUGUCUUAAGUCAUGAGAUGAGAAGAAGAGCCUUAGUUGUUAAAGAAAGUCCCAAUCCGCUAGAAAGUCUAAAAGAAAACCUCUCCUUAGAACAAAAACCAAAAACAAAGAAUGGGUUGAUCCAAGAGAUUAUUGAAACAUGCCUUGAGUGCAAAAGGGUAGAAUUAGGAUCAUUUCUGGGGUUUAGAGAUAGGACCAUCUAUGGAGUUUGAUAUACUUAUGGUUAUUUGGGUAGAUGGGGUCUGUUCUUGUAUGCGUAGGUUGGUUCUAACCUUUAGCAUUCUACUAAAGCUCUGUCCAUUCAUGAGAGUUCCCUGUUACUGUGAAAAAGUCUGUAACCAUUUACAGAGGAACCAUCUUUGUUUCUCAGCCUUGUCCUUUAAACCAAAUGAGUUCUUCAGCAAUGUUUUGCUUGAUUCAUGGUUUGAGCUUAAUCAAUGUUAAAGGGAAUUGAUGAUCUGAAGGUGUGUGUAGAUUGGAACAAAUGUUAGGUUGUCUUGUGAUGAAUAUGGCUAAAGUUUUUAAGUAGAGUUUGGUUUCUAAGCAUUCCACAAUUACUAACUUGGACAUUGAGUUCAUUUGCUUUGUCUGCAUGCUUUGGUUCUGAGUCCCCGCUUUCAAACCUCUCCUCCAGCUUGUUCUUAAUUGUUUGCUUGAGGGCAAGCAAAGACUAAGUUUGGGGGAGUUGAUAUGUCUAUAUUUUACUUGUUUUGAGCAUCCAUUUAGCAUCACUUUAUCAUCAUUUCGUCAUUGUUUCAUACCAUUCUUCAUCAUUUGUCAUCACUUUGCAUGAUUAGGAUAGUUUUGCAUGCAUGUUGCAUAUUUGAGUUGUUUUCAGGUGAUUUGGAGCUGUUGGUGAGCAAAUUGGAAGAAGUGGACCAGAACCCAUCAGUAUGCUCGACCACGAGGUGGAGCACCAUCAUCAUGACUUUCCAAAUGCACUCGACCACGACCAAGUCGAGCACCAAGUCGAGCACCAAGUCGAUCACCAAGUCGAGUACCCUCUCCUUCACCAACUCGACCUACCACUCGACCUCAUGGUCGAGUACCAGCUCCUUCACCAAGUAGACCACGACUCCAGAUCACGACUCGAGCACGCAGUCGAGUAUCCUCCACCAACUUACUCGACCAAGCACUCGAUUGCACGCUUCAGAGGCUUCUCAGAUCCCAACUCAACCAGACACUGAGCAUAAGGAAGAGAAGAAGAUAAAGCGGGACUCGAGUGCAUACCCGACCUAGUCACUCGAUCGCAUCACGACCAGAUCAAGAAACCGCAAAGGAGCCAGCUUUGCUCGACCUCUUCACUCGAUUGCACGAAGCCGAAUGUCUCCGUAAACCGCCUUAAUACUUUGUCGUCUUAUGAUUUAGGGUUUCCUAGUAUUUGCUAUAAAUAGGUUGCUUCUCAUAAUUUUCAGACUAAGUUUUAUUCUGUCUAAGUUUUAUUCUACAGAACAAUUAGUGCUUUCUUCAUAUUUGUAAUCCAGAUUUCUCUUAAUCUAUUGAGUAUUUGCUUUUGAUUUCUUCUACAAAGUUGUUCAUCUUUUUGAGAUCUUGCUAAUAUGAAGUUUUUAUGUAUUUCUGGGUUUUUGUUCUUGGUUAUGAAUUUUGAGUAGUGAUUAGGGUUCUUGAGGAUGGGUUAGAGUAGUUUAGAAUCCUUGAUCUGCUAGGUGGUUGAGUUUGAUUGGUAGAUCCCUUCUGGAUUAGUUGUUCUUAAUAUUGAUUGCUUUCUGAUCAACUGGAAUCUGAGCCCAGACAUUUCCGCACCCAAAAGGUGUUCGAUGAAAUGUCUGAACCACUAAUUCCAGAGAUUCGUGGCUCUGUACCAAGGUAUUGGUUACAGGGAGCGUUUUGGCUUAGACUUGUUGUUUCGUAAUGCCUGUUAGGUUAGCUCUCGUCAAUGGUGAUUGAGUCUGGGACUAGCUUUGCUUGAGGAUCUCUGUUGCGGUAGCACUUUGAUUUGGCCAUUGAACUUGUUGUCUAGGGAUAGUUUGUUGAGCAUGUUAACCACCUUUUAGAUUAAGGAGACUUCACUACUCGAUUACCCCAUCCUCGGGAAUUUCUCUUCCAAUUGAUUUCUUUGUUCACAUCGCUAUUGAUUGCUUGAUCUCGUUACUUGUUGCUUAGUUUUUGCAUUUUUACUUAUUUUACUUGAAGUACUCGACCACACCCAGCGGUUUGGAAACGGACUGUGCAGUCGAGUACAUUUGUUGCAGUUUCUGUUUGGUACUCGAUCUGGCACUCGACCACAUCCAGUGCUUGGCAUCAAGCUGUGUGAUCGAGUGUGUUAUCUGUUUCUGUUAGAAUUAUUGUUUUCUGCAUGAUCACUGGAACUGUUAACAACAUCAAAACCUGUUAUUGCUUGGCUUGACUCUGUGAAAUCUGAUUGCAUCUUGAUUGCUAGCAUCACACCCAUUUGGAUUGACACCUUAAAUACUGCAAUGACAUGAUAGUACUUUAAGGAUAAUUGAUCUUAGUUAAAAUCUUACUAUCAAGAUUCUCGAGGUGAACGGUGUUCGCCGAGUUUCUUCGAUUACUCGAUCGAUCUCAGGCGCCGAACUGGUCGCCUGAUGAAACUUCGACUUCAUUUCGUCAAGCUCUUGACGAACCUUGAUGAAAUCAUCUGAGAAGGUGACAUCGGGAUUUUCCAUAAGGAAUCCGUCGUCAAUAGGAAGAUUUUCCUGAACUUGGGGAAUUUCUCCCCCGGUUGGGUUAGUUCUAUCCCCUACGGCUGCCUGAUUGCUAGAAGGCUGGCCUGUCGGAGUAGUUUGAGUAUUCCCGGACCUGUUUUGUGCGGGAGUUACGAAUAGCCUGCGCUGAUGCGCUGUUACCCGUACAGAAGACAAAUUAUCUAAACGGCUUGAAACAACGUUCUGCGUGUUUGAAAAAUUUGUCUGGGUGGUUUGAAUACUAGUCAAGGUUUGCUCGGCUGAGUCCAACCUUGCACUAAAAGUGGUGUUGGAAUCAACAAGUGUACCCAUCUGAUUGGUCAGAUUGGUGGUUGUCUGAUUAAGCAAGGCGAUUGCAUCGCUCAACACUUGCUGCUCAGCCAUAGUUUCUUGGUUGGGAAAGAAAGAUUUUGAAAUUAAAGAGUUUUGUGGUAACUCCCCACAGGCGGCGCCAAAAUGUGGAUGUAGGAUUCACACUUGAUUAUCUUUAAGUAUUCAGUGGAGAAAAACUCUUAGAAUCAACAAAUGAAUAUGAGAAUUUAAAAGGAAAAUUAACCAAGAAAAAAGUAAAGAAAUUUGAUAAGAGCGAAGUAUGUAAAGCCUUGCGAAAUAGUAAAGAGAGAAAGUAUGUUGUAUUGCUUAGUUGUAAUGUGUAAUAAUCUGAGAGAAGUCUGUCCCCCAAACACAUGCGUUUGAGGUUGUUUUUAUAGAGAAAACAUGAUUAAUGUGGUCAUUCACUACUCAUAAUUAUAUUGAUCCGCAUUAAUCUUGUAAGUUACAAUUUUGACCGAAACGGCUUGAAUUUGAACUAUCUUGGGCUUCAUAUGGGUUUUCCGAACUCUUUCUUGCUGACUCCGAACUCCCGCGCUUUGAUGCUACUGUGAGCCUCGAACAAUAUUCUCCUCGCUUCAGCCUUUCUCUAUGCGAACUAUAUAUCGAAUAAGAGCGAACUCCAUACUGGCAAAGAUCAAACUCUUCUAGUGGACUGAAUAGAACUCCCGACUGGUCAAGUUCAAUACUUAUAAUAAAAUAUCUUGAAUUCCGAGAGGAUUAUUAUGUAAUAAUAACAAAGGUUUCUCUCAAACACGUGGAGUUGAUUAUCAAGAAACAUAUUCUCCAGUCAUGUAUGCAAUUACAUUCAGGUACUUAAUGAUCCUUUCGGCAUCUAAUAAUCUAGAGAUGUACCUGAUCGAUGUAGUAACAACAUAUUUAUCACUGGGUAAUGAUAUAUACAUGAAAAUUUCAGAAGGAUUUAAAGUUCCUGAGACAUUAGACUUAAAGUCUUAUGAUGUAUGUGCAGUCAAAUUACAUCAAUCAAUAUAUCUAUUAAAAUAAUCUGGACGCAUGUGGUAUAAUCGUUUAAGCGAUUAUUUACUAAAGGAAGGAUAUGUGAAUAAUGAAAUAUGCUCUUGCGUCUUUAUCAAGAAAUUUCCAUAGGGAGUUGUGAUCAUUAAUGUUUAUGUUGAUGACCUAAAUAUCAUUGGAACUCAAAAGGAGAUUGAUGAUGCAAGAAGUCAUAUGAAAGAAGAAUUCGAAAUGAAAGAUCUUGGAAAGACUAAAUUUUGUCUUGGACUCCAAAUAGAACAUUUCCAAGAUGGAAUAUUUGUGCAUCAAUCAAAUUAUACGAAAAGGAUUUUAAUGCGCUUUAAUAUGGAUAAAGCGAAUCCUUUAAGUACUCCAAUGAUAAAUAGAUCUUUAAAUAUUGAAAAUGAUCAAUUCAGACCUUGUAACGAUAACGAAAAAAUACUUGGUCUCGAAGUACCUUAUAUGAGUGCUAUUGGUGGACUUAUGUACCUUGCAAAUUGUACUCGACUAGAUAUAGCUUUUGCUACUAAUUUACUUGCAAGAUACAAUUCAUCUCCUAGUCGGAGACAUUGGAAUGGAAUAAAGCACAUUUUCCUUUAUCUUCAAGGUACGAUCGACUUGGGAUUAUUUUAUCCUAGAAACUCCGAGUUUGAUUUAGUUGGUUUUGCAGAUGCAGGCUACCUAUUAGAUCCCCAUAAAUCUCGAUCACAAACUGGAUAUGUUUUUACCAUUGGAAGAACUGCGAUCUCAUGGCGUUCUCAGAGGCAAACGUUAGUCGCCACUUCAUCAAAUCACACAGCGAUCAUUGCUCUUCAUGAAGCGUGUAGAGAAUGUAUAUGACUUAGAUCUAUGACUUACCAUAUUCAAGAAGCAAGUGGAUUAGUCAUCAAAAGAGAGCUAACAAGAUUAUCUGAAGACAAUGCUGCAUGUGUUGCUCACAUAAAAGAUGGUUAUAUCAAGAGCGAUAGAACAAAGCAUAUACCUCCAAGAUUCUUCUCUUACACUCGAGAAGAAUAAGGAAGUCGAUAUUCAGUACAAGUGACAAUGCAGUAGAUCUAUUUACAAAGGCGCUUCCAACUUUCACAUUUAGAAAGCAUGUUCAAAGUAUUGGAAUGCGUCAUCUACGUGACCUAUGAAGUCUUUUCGAGGGAGAGUUUACGGCAUUGUACUCUUUUUCCCUUGUCAUGGUUUUUAUCUCAAUGGGAUUUUCCAUGAUAAGAGUUUUAACGAGGCAGUACACAACUCGUCAAUGGUGAUGGAGACUCAAGGGGGAGUAUUGUGAACAAGUGUGUUUCUCCAUCACAAAACACAUGUCAUUACACAUGCCUUUUAGUUGGACACUAAUCUCUCAAGUAUAACACUUGUUAUUACACAUGUUUCACACUUGUCAUUAUACAUAAACACUUAUCAUCACAUCCUUAGAUGUGUACGUUUCAUCAUCUGUUUUCUCCUUUAUAAAUAGGGGUUGUUCAAGAUGAGAAAGAUAAUACAACAAAGAGAGAAGAAGAAAAAAAUUAUAAGAAACUUAAAGUGUUGAUCUCCCCCCUCUCUUUUUAUAUAAGUCCUUGUUUAGAUUUUCUAUUUUACAACAGAAAUCUUGUUUUGUUAAGAUUAAUACAUUUGAUGUAUGUAUUAUAGAUAGAUAGAUAGUCAGGAAACAAUACAAUGUUUUUUUUUUUUUUUGAGUUUGACUAUAUUUUGAUGACUUGCCAUAUCUUAAUAUUAGAGUUUAAAUAUAAUAAUAAUUAUUACAGGAAAAUGAUUUUGUUGUUUUAAAUGUAUUAAAUCAUAUCUAUACUAGUAUUUUUGCAACACUUUGGUGACGGGUGGGUAAAAAUGCUUCUGGGUUAAUCGGAUAUCCGACCCGUUUUUUAAAAUCCUUCACAAAAAAUUUGUUGGGUCGGGUUAUAUUUAACCCAACUCAUACACCGGAUAUUCCAUAGUUAAUAAUUUAGAUAUUUAGAAGAUUUGAUUAAGAUUUAGAAUUAUGAUUCUCCUAUCAUCUUUGUUUGAUUUGUUUUUAACUGUUUUGAAUCAUCAUAUAAUACAUAAAGUAAAAAAAAAAAUCAAUUUUUUUCCUGCAUAUACUGUGAUUCGAAAUUUUAAAAACGGACAUAUAUUAUCUAAUUGACGAAAAUGUGUGUUCAACGUUCUACAUCGAUUAAAAUAUUUAGACAAUGAUUCAGAAUCAUAUCAUAAAUAAAAUCAACAUUAAUAAAAUAAAUGAGUUUUUUGGCCGGACAGGUUUGGCGGGACGGGUUUUUGAAUCAACAAUAAUAAAAAGAUUAAAAUAUCAUUAAUCCGUCGCUUCAAUACGGAUUAAAUCCUUUUUUUUUUAAUACCACCAAUAUUAGACAUAUUAAAUCAGUCUCAUUUAGAAAAGAUUUUAUAAAACCAAAAAUUGUCCCGUGGUAUAAUGUUACUUAAUAACAAUAUUUAUAAAAUUUUUAAAUAUCAUUAACAUGCUGCUUUAAUACAUAUUAAAUCUUCAGUUUAUUAAAAUAUAAAUGUCUUAGAGAAUGAUAUGAUUUGUAAACUUUAUAUAUAAUAAAUAAUCAUGAAAUUUUAAAAUAAAAACAAAUCACGGGAUGGGUUAAGAAAUUACGGAACGAGUUAUAUUUCGGAAAGGAUUUAUAUGGCGGACGAAUUUGAAUCAAUAUUUAUAUACCGCUUUAAUACGAGUUAAAUCCUCAGUUUAUUAAUAAUUGUCUCGUGGACUCGUGGUAUACCGUUACUUAAUAACAAUUGUAAACUAUAUAAAUAAAUAUGUUAUAAGGAGAUACAAUUUACAAAAUAUUUUGAACUAACUUUAAAAUUAAAUCAUCCCGCGGUGUACCGCGGGUUAAAAUCUACUAAUGGUUAUUAAGAUAAAUUAUCUAAUUAGAUAACAUAUAUUGGUUUUAUAAUCUCAUAUAUAACUGAUUGUAUAUGCUAAAAAUAUUUUUUUCAUCAUUUUCUUAUUAAAUUAUGUGUAAUUCCGAGUAAAAAAUUGGAACAAUUUUUAGUCAUAUGAUAUCGUGAUUUCUUAUUUGAUUUUUUUAAUUUCAAUUAUAACAAAACAAUGCAAUUUAGUAUAACAGAAAUUUGAAAUAUCUAACUUUGGUAAUAAAAAUUUGAAAUAUUUAAAUUUGGUAACUUUAUAUAUUAAAAAUCUUUUAUAUGUGUUUGAAAUUUGAAGAUUGAUUUUAAGAAAGAAAAGAUAAAUAAUAUUUGCAUAUCUGGAAACAAAAGUGUUUGGUGAUAGGGAUAGUACGUAGAAUUAGAAAAAGGAAAAAUAAAAUGGUUGAGAAAAAUUGUGGGCUUGCCACAUAAACACUACAAACUCUCUUUUAAUAUAAAUAUGAUAUACUUUUUCAUCAAUUUUUUGUUUUUUUUCAAAAAAUAAUAUAUAUUGCAUUUUUAUUGGUAACAAAAUAAUAGAAACCUCUAUGUAUUUUUAUUGGAGAUGUGGAAAAAUGGUUUAAAAAACCCUUAAUAUAUAUUUUCUAAUAACAUUUAAAUAACCCUCACAUUUUUGUUUGAAAGUUUUUAAAACCCUCACAUUUUGUUUUAAGGUAAAAUACCUAUAAGCAAAAGCAAAUUAGUUUGACAUUAGUUUUAUCAAAUUCGAUUUUGCCGUUUUUUUCGUCAUAUUUUGUUUUUCUUCUAUGUGAUUUAAAACUUAUAUGAAAUAUAAAUUAUACAUCUAGUUGAGAUAUGAUAAGUUCAAUUUUUUUAUAUUAGAAAUUGUGUUAUGUAAACAAAAACUUAUAUGUGUUGAUCCAUCUAUCAAAAUCCACAUUGUUGGUGUCGGAUCCCGCACCAGAAGUCCGAGACCAACCAAAGAUUGCCACGUAGUCAAGAUAACGGUCCAUAAAGGAUAAAGCCCAUUGGACCCGUGAGCCGAAGGAACGGUCGAGGUGGUUAUCACCACUUCGAGAAUCCGAAGUGACUGCGCUUCGACGUGAGUUCGGUGUAGAGGACACAGGUAGAUCGGUUCAAGGACAUUUGGGCCAAAAGGCGAGGCCCAUGAAGAUCAGAGUUAACUCAAAUUCAAACGUUGAGCAUUAAAGUCAAAGAUCAAAACGGACACAUUUAAAAGGGAAUAAUUGUACUUAAUUAUUCAUUUUAAUGUCGUUUCUCUAUGUAUAAAUAUAAAGGCCAAUGGCCAUGUAAAAGAGAGAUCUCUCUCUUGAGCAGGAAAUACGAUAGCAAUUUUUGUAGCAAUUCAUAAGCCUUUUACGUUCUUAUUUUUUGUCCCUCAAGAAUAAUCUUUCCUACUAAUAAAAAUACUUGAGUGUGUGAAUCCGACAUCCACAUUUUGGCGCCGUCUGUGGGGAUAGAGGAUUCUUGAGUGGUCAGAUUUUUCUUUACUACAUUCCCAAGAUAAGCAGCAAUGUCCGGAGGAGACGCCGUUGAGACAUCAUUGGCCGAAACCCUCAAAGCUAUGCAGCAAACCAUGUCGGACAUAUCACAAAAGUUCUCGGAUGUGGAAAAGGCUGUCGAUACGUUGCAAACAUCCCAGGUAUCUCUUAGUCAAAACGUCAGUACUAAACAAACUCGUGUUCGCUCUUUAAGUGCAGGAAAUCCUGUGGGAAUCCGAAGGAGGAUACUCAACUCGCCAAUUUCCGUCGUGCGAAAUGAAACCAGCGGACAAACAACUCCUGGUACUACUAAUAAUGUAGUUCAGCCAUUGGAUGGAGAGGCACAGCUCGAAGAUGAAGCUCAACUUGAAGAUCAAUACGAGCAAGAAAACCUCGACCAGUUCGAGACUAUGAGGAAGGUUAGCCAAGAACUAAAAGAAAUGAAGUCAAAGUUCCAUCAGGCUACAAGUUCGGAGCCGGAUAUCAAUCGAGUCAUUGAAGAAGCUAGGCGAACACCUUUCAUCUCACGAAUUGCGAGUUUGAGAAUCAAAGAUUCCCGGAAGCUCAAGUUGGACCCUUACAGCGGAUUGGAGGAUCCAAAGAGCUAUCUCGCAGCUUUUCUGAUCGCUGCUGGAAGAGUCGAAUUGGAUGAAGCUAAUGAGGAUGCAGGUUACUGCAAGCUUUUUUCGGAAAAUCUAUGCGGCCAAGCUUUAAUGUGGUUCACCCAAUUAGAGCCGGGUUCGAUCAGCAAUUUCGACGAGCUAUCAGCUGUAUUCUUAAAGCAAUAUUCCAUCCUUAUGGAUAAAAGCGUUUCGGAUGCCGAUCUUUGGAACUUAUUACAAGGAUCAAAUGAAUCACUUCGAGUUUUCAUCACCAAAUUCAAAGGAGUGCUGUCAAAGCUCCCAAGAAUCUCACAACAAUCAGCUUUAUCUGCCUUACGAAAGGGAUUGCGACAUGAUUCAAGAUUUAAAGAAGAUUUAAUACUUCAUAAACCAGACACAAUUCAGGAUGCACUCUUCCGCGCAAACAACUAGAUGGAGGUAGAGGACGAAAAAGAAAAUUUUGCCAAAGAAAUAAGCAAGAGAAGCCGGCAAUCACCAUCCCUACCAAGAAGUUCGAAUCCAGGGAAAACAAAGGACCAAAGAAAUUUGGGUCGCAACCCUUCAACAGUACCAUCGGAAAGCAAUUCCAAGGGAAAGGAAGAUCAAACACUUGGGUCCGUGAUGAAAGUUUAUAUUGCGACAUUCAUAAAGUGACCGGACAUUUAACCAAGGAUUGUAGCGUUCUUAAAAGGCACCUCGCAGAGCUUUGGGCCAGUGGAGAUCUUUCCAAAUUCGAUAUAAAAGAUUUUGUGAAGGAAUACCACGAAGCGAAGGAAAAUUCCAAAGAUCAAAAUUCCAAAAGACCAAGGUUAACCAACGAGGAAGAACCAAGGAAUUCUAAGGGUAAGAUCAAUGUUAUUCUAGGAGGUUCCAAAUUUUGUCGAGAUUCGAUAAGUUCCAUCAAGAAACAUAGACGAAAUGUCCUACUCAAAGCAAGCUUGAGCGAAGAAGUUGAUUUUCAAGGUGCAUCAAUAUCAUUUAAUGAAGAAGAAAUGCGGCACCUCGAAAGACCUCAUGAUGAUGCCCUAGUCACUACCCUAGACGUUGCCAACUUUGAAGUAUCAAAGAUCCUUAUAGAUACAGGCAGUUCGGUCGACCUGAUCUUUUUAAGUACCUUAGAAAGAAUGGGAAUUAGUCGGGCGGACAUAGUACGACCUCCGUCUCCAUUGGUUGCAUUCACAAGUGAGUCAACCAUGUCUCUUGGGACAAUCAAGCUACCGGUCCUUGCCAAAAAGGUAUCAAAGAUCGUGGAUUUCGUUGUCUUCGAUAAGCCCGCAGCUUACAACAUCAUCCUCGUGACUCCCUGGAUUUAUCAAAUGAAAGCAGUCCCCUCUACAUAUCAUCAAUGUAUCAAAUUUCCAACAUCAAGAGGAGUGGAAACAAUUCGGGGAGAUCAAGAAGCUUCACAGACGUGUUAUCUAGCUAGCCACCGUAUGAAGAUUCAAUAGCAAUUAACGAAGCCCACAAAAGAGGGACUAAGAACAAAAUUUCCUAGCGGGCAGAAAAAAGAUGAUGUAGUAAUUGAAGUAGUGUUGGAAGAAGACAAACCGGACCGGAAAAUUCGAAUUGGGGCAACUUUGACUGGCCAAAUAAAAGAAGCUUUGAUCGAACUUUUGAGAAAAAACAUAACGUCAUUUGCAUGGCAGCGGCAGAUAUGCCCGGCUUAGAUCCAAGCAUAAUUUGUCAUGAACUAAACGUGGAUCCAAGCUUCAAGCCGGUGAAGCAAAAAAAGAAGAAAGCUCGGAGUGGAGCGAGCAAAAAUAGUAAAUGACGAAGUAGAUAAACUUUUGAAAAUAGGGUCCAUAAGAGAAGUGCAAUACCCGGAGUGGGUAGCAAACACUGUCGUUGUCAAGAAGAAGAAUGGAAAAUAUAGGGUUUGCAUCGACUUCACAGAUCUCAAUAAAGCAUGUCCCAAAGACAGUUUCCCGCUCCCACAUAUAGAUCGACUUGUAGAGUCCACCGCUGGGAACGAGCUGUUAACAUUCAUAGACGCCUUCUCGGGUUAUAAUCAAAUAAUGAUGAAUCCCGAAGACCAAGAAAAAACAUCAUUUAUAACUGAUAGAGGUAUCUAUUGUUACAAGGUAAUGCCUUUUAGUUUGAAAAAUGCAGGAGCAACUUAUCAACGGUUGGUUAACAAAAUGUUCCAUAAUCAUCUCGGGAAGACAAUGGAAGUCUACAUAGAUGAUAUGUUGGUUAAGUCAUUAAAGAAAGAAGAUCACAUUAAGCAUUUAGAGGAAUGUUUUGAUAUUCUCAAUAAAUAUCAAAUGAAGCUGAACCCGGCGAAGUGCACAUUCAGAGUCCCAUCCGGAGAAUUUCUUGGCUAUAUUGUGACAGAAAGAGGGAUUGAAGCCAAUCCAAAUCAAAUUAACGCUUUUCUAAAUAUGCCAUCUCCAAGAAACUUCAAGGAAGUACAACGGUUGACUGGGCGGAUCGCGGCUUUGAAUCGUUUUAUCUCGAGAUCAACAGAUAAGUCGUUACCUUUCUACCAAAUUCUAAAAGGAAACAAAGGAUUCCUUUGGGACAAAAAGUGUGAAGAAGCUUUUGGGCAGCUUAAGGCAUACUUAACCACUCCACCUGUACUCUCCAAACCAGAAGCGGAUGAAAAACUUGGUUCGGGAGGACCGCGGGGAACAGAAACCAAUUUAUUACGUAAGUAAGUCAAUGGCAGAUCCGGAAACCAGAUACAAAAUGAUGGAAAAACUCGCACUCGCGGUGGUGACUUCAGCUCGGAACAAUACUUCAUAGUCCAAGUCAGUCCAGACGUUUGGCGAAAUGGGCGGUGGAAUUAAGCGAGUACGAUAUAGAAUUCAAAAGCCGGAUCAGUAUGAAGGCUCAGGUUUUAGCAGACUUCUUGACCGAGCUACCAAUACCUGGAACAAUAGAGCAACCGGAGAACCAAACUUGGAAAUUACAUGUAGAUGGGUCUUCAACAAAGCAAGUAUUCAGAGUGGGAAUCAAGUUGGAGUCUCCAACAUCAGAAAUUCUAGAACAGUCAUUCCGGUUGUUAUUCAAUGCCUCCAACAAUGAGGCAGAAUACGAAGCCAUGAUUGCCGGACUUCGAUUGGCACAAGGAGUUGGAGCUAAGGAAAUAGUGGCUUAUUGUGAUUCGCAAUUAGUAGUUAACCAGUUUAAUGGAGACUAUGAAGCCAAGGACUCAAGAAUGGAAGCGUACCUCGAAGUGGUGAAAGAUCUAUCUAGAAAUUUCUCGAAAUUCGAAUUAAUCCGCAUACCUCGGGGGGAGAAUACAACUGCGGACGCACUUGCUGCAUUGGCGUCAACAUCAGAUCCUGAAUUGAAAAGAGUUAUUCCAGUGGAAUGCAUUUCGGAGCGAAGCAUUCAAGACAACAAAGAAACCCUCGUCGUUACAAGGUCUCGAGCAGCGGCACGUGACCGUGGCGAACCAGAGAUCGAACCUCCGCCCAACAAACGGAGGAAGUCAAGGGGAUCAAACACAUCUAACAAGGAACCCGUUGUCUUAGCAGAAGAUGUGAUUCUAGAAACAAUAUUAGAAACCGAGCCGUUAAUCGAGGAGGAUGUUCUUGAACCAAAUGAACAUCCCGAACUGGAGCCACGAGUAUUUCACAAGGUUGACCAAAUUCUGGCUAAAGACUGGGGGGCUGACUCGAGGGAGCCAAUAAAGCACUACAUCAUGACUGGCGAGCUCCCAAAGAAUAAGUGGCAGGCCAGGAAAAUAAAAAUCGUUAGCGCGAAAUUUUGUCUAUCAAAGGAUGUAUUAUAUAGACGAGGUGUCAGUGACCCUUACCUAUUAUGCAUUUUUGGGCCCGAAGUCGAAAUCGUCAUGAGCGAAGUGCAUGAAGGAUUAUGUGGGAGUCAUUCAUCAGGAAGAGCUAUGGCUUUUAAAGUUAAAAGAAUGGGAUACUAUUGGCCCACUAUGAUCACGGAUUGUGUUAAAUUUGCCCAAAAAUGUAAGCGCUGCCAACUCCAUGCACCAUUGAUCCAUCAACCUUCGGAGUUAUUCUCUUCCAUCUCCGCCCCGUACCCGUUUAUGAGAUGGUCAAUGGACAUCAUUGGACCAUUGCACAGAUCAACUCGAGGUGUACAAUACCUUUUGGUCUUGACGGAAUACUUUUCGAAGUGGAUUGAAGCUGAGGCAUAUGUUGGCAUCAAAGAUUCAGCGGUAAAGGCUUUCAUUUGGAAGAAUAUUAUAUGUCGACAUGGAGUUCCAUAUGAAAUAGUCACCGAUAACGGGCCAUAAUUCAUUUCACAAGAGUUUGAUGCCUUAUGUCCGGACUGGGGAAUCAAAGUCAGUUACUCUACUCCACGAUAUCCGCAAGGAAACGGUCAAGCUGAAGCCGCAAACAAGACGAUAUUGAGCAAUCUCAAGAAACGUUUGAAUCAUCUAAAGGGAGGAUGGUACGAAGAACUCCAACCCGUCCUAUGGGCCUAUCGUACAACCCCUAGGCGACCUACCGGAGAAACUCCAUUUUCUUUGGUUUAUGGCAUGGAGGCAGUAGUACCAGCUGAACUCAACGUGCCCGGACUUCGCCGAACAGAAGCACCAUUAAAUGAGGAAGAAAAUUCAGCAAUGCUUAAUGAUUCACUAGAUACCAUAAAUGAAAGGCGUACCAGCAGGCAGCAGCCCGAUAUUACAAUUCUAAAGUUAAAAGUGGGCCGUUCUUCGUGGGAGAUUAUGUGUUAAGGCGUGUCUUUGACAACAAAAAAGAAGAAGGUGCCGGUAAACUCGGUAUUAAUUGGGAAGGACCUUACAUUAUUACCGAAGUGGUUCGGAACGGUGUUUAUAGGUUGAAAGACUUAGAAGACAGUCCAUUCAAGCGACCUUGGAAUGUGAUCAACCUAAAGAAGUUUUAUGUUUAAAGCUACAUGCAUUUUUUAUGUACAUGAACUACGAUGUGGCUUGAUCCCGAAAUGGGUACGUAGGCAGCUCGGGAACGAGUUCAGCUAUUAGUAAAAAUUUGUUUUAUUUCUGUAUUAAAGGGAAUGGUUCGUCUAUGCGAACAUACAAGGAAUUGGAAAUAGAACGUUUAUUCAAAAAAAAAAAAGAUGGAAUGUCCCUCAUCGAACACUUCGAGUUAUGGAGAUCUUGUUGACGAGCAGAACACUUUAACUCCUUGGCCAGCAAGGUCGAGGAUUGCCACCAUGCAGUCCGAAAUUCGAGCGAAGUCAGAGAUUCCAAGCUCGACCCAUUCUCCAGGGUGAGAUUCAAGGACGUGAAGAUCUCUUGAUACCGUAGUAAGCCUGCGUUGCAUCCGGUUAAUCUUCUUCCGGAGUCUCCUCUUUUCCAACGAAAGCUUCCGAUGUUGAAGCGCAAGUUCCUCUAUGAAUGCCAUCGCUGUUCCUUGGUCUCUGAUUGGGAGAUCCCUGAUCAAAGCACAAGGAGCUCGGAUCUGGGAUCUUAGGAAGCCGCGAGGUGGAAGAGGCCGCCUAUUUGAUUCAUUUGGGGCAUCUUCGUUUAUCAUUCCGAUCCUGGAGAAGUCGGGCAUAGAUUCUAAACAUCGAAGGUUGAACUCCAUACCUGCUAAAAUGAAAAAGAGUGGUGAGGAGAAAAGAGAAGUUGAGACUAUAAUUUAUAGGAAUAUCGUAUUCCUAGAAAGCUAUGGAUUCUAUCCUAGUAAUGUAGUGAUUCGCGGAGAGAUUUAUGCCUUUAAACCGAUCCUGCAUUAAAAGACGCAUCUCCGAGAAUAUUUGAAGAAUAAGGAAAAUUGCAAAUGCUUCCAUAAAUAAAAAAGGGGCCGAAGCCAAUUACGAGUUCAAAAUAAGUAAAGAAGUUAGAGAACAUUUAUGGAAAAGGCUCAGGAACAGGCUCCUUCAUCGCCAGUUUAGUUUUCGAAGUGGACGCCUUGUUCUUGGCAUCCACUUCGGGACAAUCUCGAACGCGUUUUCGACAGGUGCUGGCCUCCUCCUCGUCUUAUUCUUCGCUGUCAGAUGGAACAGUAUAGACCGGGGCAUUCACGGGACCCGGGACUCCUUUAGCGCGGAGAUACAUCCGGAGCAUCUUCGGGAUCUCAGCGACAGAAUCAAAGUUCCGCCAUUCCCAUUGAAAGGGAUCACUUUCCAAAGCCCGUAUCUUCCUCUCCACCCGAGCGAUGCGAGCCUCGAGUGUUUGCCUUUUUAGGCCCAGCCGUUGCCUCUCUUCACACAAGCGACGGUGUUUGUCGGCAACCUAACAUAAAGAUGGAUGAAUGAGAUGAAAUAAAAAGUUUUUAGUCAAAGACGACAGAUAUUAACCUUGUCAAUAAAGUCGCAAGCCUCUUUCUUCUCCUUCGAAGGAAAGUGAAAGAUGGCGUGAGGGAAAAGAACGCCGGCCAGUUCAAAGCUGUCGCCGGACAAGAAGAGUGGGCUGCCGGGAUCAAUGGGGGCUACUUUUUCGUUUUCCAUUCUCAUAAUAUUUCUCAAGUAAGAUUCUAAAAUCGUAUUUAAAGAAAGCUUAGAGGUAGGUAAGCCUUUAUUUAUAAUGGUUUAGGGUUUGUCUUGGAACCAUAAAUCCAAUAAUGGUAGUGUGCCCGAGUGGUUUAAACCAUUUUUGGAAAUAAAGAAAAAGCAGUUAUUGCAUUAAAGACGAGCCGUUUUUCCUACUUUUAAGAAAUAAAAAGGGGAAAGAGCAACCGUCGCAUUAACUACAAAAGUUUCUAAGGCCCAAGCCCAAUAAAUUUAUCGAGUUGACUAAACCCGAAGUGGGGAACUUGCUUUAAGCCGAGCUCAGUUCUCGCAUUCUAAAGAGAAAGGUAUGAUCAUCAUAAAAAUCUCGAAAGCAUACCACAAGGCCACAAAGGGUUAAAAGCGGACUUUGCAAACCCACACAUAAUUUUAACCAAACCCCCUUGGGGUCAAAACCUAGAAAGGUUUAAAAGCCUCCUCAGGAAAAUAUCUUGUUCGAAAGACAUAAUAAAGCCUCCUUAGGCAAAAACAAGUUCGAAAUUAAUUUUUAAAAUUAAUGGGACAAUUCCCAAUUUAAAGUGGACGUAGCCACUACGGAGUAACAGCCACCUCGGACUCCGGCUCGACAGUCGAAGUUUCAUUCGCCUUCUUGGCUGGUGCUUGGUCAGAUGGAGCUCCUGGUCCGCCCUCUACAGUACAACCAUCCUCCGGGGUGACCUCCGAUGUCACAGGAACUUCGGGUGGGACGACAUCUUCCGUCUCACUUGGGCCUGGGAAGGACGGUUCCAGUUAAUUUAAAAAAAAAAAACAUAAAGUAAGGAAAAGGUAGUAAGAGUCAGGAGCCAAGCGUUACAUGCCCAGUCUAGACCCGAUUCACUUAUAGGAGGCGAUUCAGUGAAGAAUUCCUCAAAGUCAUGCGGGUUGAAGGUCAAAGUAGGAAGAGCUGCCAAGCGACUCCGCUUUUCAGAAAGAUUAGCCGAUAGUUCGGUCCUCUCUUGAAUCUCGGAGAAAUCUUUUUCAUUGAUUUGAUCCAACAAAAUCAGAUUGCUCUCAUGCUCCUUGAUGUCUGAUUCCAGAUCUGACCUAGCUUUCUCGGUUUGAAUGAAGCGGAUGGCUCCUUGGAUCAACUCCAUCCCGCGUACCUUAACCUCCUUUCUGGCUUUCGAUGCCGACCUCGCCAACUCGGAAUCACGCAAUUUGGCGAUCGCCUUGUACUUCGCGUUAAGCUCAAUAAGUUGGUCAUUCAGGGAAUUAGCGGUUGAUUCGGAUUCAUGAAGCCUACCCUGAACGCCAGAAAGCUCAUCCUGUAGUUUGAAAUUCUGGUCGUACUGGUCCAGCAGCUCCCCCUUUAUCUUCGCCAGCUCGGAUGUUAGAUUAUCGACCUUGUCCUCCAGAUCGUGCUUGGAGCCGGUAGAAGAGCUUAGUUCAGCCUCAAGAGCAGAAAGUUUUUUCUUCCACGCAUCAAUCUCCUUUUCCCGACCAAGGACCAGCCCCUCAUAAUGUUCAAUCAUGUCAUUAAGUUCACCGUUAGCCUGUCAUUAUGCAUGACAUCGGGAUGGUCAGUCAUUUCGAUGAACGGCAGCACAAUCGAAAACAUAAAGCGGAACUAACCCGAGAUAAAUGAUGAGCAUAGCAAAUAGCGUUCACGAAUCGCAUGACGCCACUUGUCAAAGUCUGGCAAGAUCGAACCCGAUCGGGUCUUGAAGCAUCGGAAAACGCUGCCUUGCUUCUCCAUAGCUGCGAAGGAGGAAGAGUUGUAAAAAUUGGAAUCUGAAUAGAGACAAAAACUUUUAAGACUGUGUAAAUCACCAAACCUGAAAGCGAUUUAACUUGAGGGACGAGAGCAGGCUUUAACCUCGAGGAAGAAUCUCGAGAUUCAGAAUCUCCCUUUUUUUGAGAUGCGCUCCGGGCAGUCUUUUCACUGUCAGGAUGGGAAGAGGAAGACAUAUCAACCGGUCAUGGAGGACCCAUUGGUUCAGUAGGAGGGGAUGAUUGAGGUGAACGGUCAGUCCGGGCCCUUGACUUUUCCCUUCGCGGGGAAGAAUCACUACGAGAGGACUUGUCUCUCUUCCUGCGAACCAAGUUCUUAAGUGGUUCGUUGCUAAAAUCAUCUUGGGGAGGACGAGGUGAAUCACGGCGAGGAGAUCGGUCCCUCCGAGGAGAACGUGAGUCACGACUAUCGCGACGAGGAGUUAAUCUGAAAGAAGCAACGGAUCUGGCUCCUUCGGUGCUGCCAUCAUCAAUCAGCAGGGUCCUACUGUAGUCCUUCUUAUCUAUAGAAGUCGCGAGAAACUUUUUCUUCUCCUCACAAGCCUCAGCUAUCGGCUUGGAAAGCAUCUUACGCUUGGCCGCAAGGGCCCGAGAUGACAUCCCCUGAGUUGAGGGAGGAGGCGGAAGUUGGUAAAGUUGACCCGGUGGACUCAUCCUGAGUCUGUGGUUAGCUUCUAGGAAUCGUUCAAGAGUGAAAGAAUUCCAAAGGGUUUCCCCUUCAAGAACUAUUUUGAAGAAUUCGAUGAACUCUUCAGAUGGGAGAGUGGAAGCGACGAAAGCUGCGAAAUGAAACAAUGGUUUUAGUCAAUAAAGAUAAUAAAACAACCGGAAAAGAUAUAUGCGACCUAAUCUCUACCAGGCUUCGUAGACCACUUUGAUGGGAGUAAAUCUGCAAGAUUUCCAAUAGAAGCGGGAGUUUUCUUAAUCAGAAACCAAGGAUGGUGCCAAUUAGGGAUACCAAAUCUGGGGAAUAUGAUGCUCCUAAACAGCUUUAAGACCACUUUAUGAUCAUUAGUUGGAGAUGUAAUGGCCUCAACCCAUUUGGAGACGUAGUCCACAGCAACAAGGAUGUACUUAUUACCAUAGGAAGCAGGAUUGAAUGGUCCCAUGAAAUCAAUUCCCCACACAUCAAAGACUUCAACCUCUAGGAUAGGGCUCUGCGGCAUUUCAUUCCUCCUGGUGAUGUUCCCCAUUCUCUGGCAGGGAUCACAUUUAGCAAUGAAUCCAUGUGCAUCUUUAAACAUGGAAGGCCACGAAAAGCCGGCUUGGAGAACCUUCUGUACUGUCUUGAAGGUAGCAAAGUGACCGCCAUAAGCAGAACCAUGACAGUGUUUCAGCACUCCUUGAACUUCCUCUUCAGCAAUACACCUUCUAAAUAGGCCAUCAGUACCCUUCUUAUACAAAUAAGGUUCAUCCCAGUAGUAAUGGUUUAUGUCUCUAAAGAACUUCUUCUUCUGGUAAGCAUCAAGGUAUUUGGGGAUUUCUCCACAGAUAAGGUAAUUCACAAGGUCAGCAUACCAUGAAAGCUCUUCUUCCUUGGCCGCACAUGCUACUUCGAUUUCCUUCUUGUUGUACGCUAUUUCAUAACUUUUGAUGGCCAACAACUGCUCUUCAGGCAUUGAAUCAUCUAUCGGGAUUUCAUCUUUAAUCCGCAUUCUGGACAAAUGAUCAGCUACUCCGUUUUCUAUACCCUUCUUAUCAACAAUCUCCAUAUCAAACUCUUGAAGUAACAAAAUCCAUCUCAGCAGUCUAGGCUUGGUGUCCUUCUUAGCAUAGAUAUGCCUCAAAGCUGCAUGGUCUGUAUAGACAGUAACCUUGGAUCCAACCAAAUAGCUCCUGAACUUCUCAAAUGCAAAGACUACAGCCAGCAACUCUUUCUCUGUUGUAGCAUAUCUUACUUGAGCAUCAUCCAAGGUUCUGCUUGCAUAAUAGAUAACAUGGAGCUUCUUAUCUAUCUUCUGACCCAGCACAGCCCCAACCGCAUAGUCUGAAGCAUCACACAUGAUUUCAAAAGGAUGAUCACAGUUUGGUGCUUGGACGAUUGGAGCAGACACUAGAGCUUCCUUAAUCAAGUGGAAAGCUCUCAUACACUCUUCAUCAAAGACGAAUUCGGUCUCUUUACAGAGAAGUCGAGUAAGUGGUCUAGCAAUUCUUGAGAAAUCCUUGAUGAAUCUCCUGUAAAAGCCGGCAUGACCCAGAAAACUUCUGAUAUCCUUUACGUUUUUGGGAGGCUGCAACUGUACCAUGACGUCUAUCUUGGCCUUAUCAACCUCAAUCCCUUUCUCUGAUAUCUUGUGUCCCAAUACUAUACCCUCUCUGACCAUGAAGUGACACUUCUCCCAGUUCAGCACUAGAUUGGUCUCCUCACACCUUGCUAGAACCCUGCAUAGAUUUAACAAACAAGAGGAGAAAGAGGAGCCAUAGACAGAGAAAUCAUCCAUAAAGACUUCCACCGUCUCCUCAAUUAAAUCCGAGAAUAUUGAAGUCAUACACCUCUGAAAAGUAGCAGGUGCAUUACACAAUCCGAAAGGCAUUCUUCUAUAAGCGAAGGUUCCAUAAGGGCAAGUAAAAGUGGUUUUCUCUUGAUCAUUAGGGUGAAUUGGUAUUUGAAAGAAACCACUAUAUCCAUCAAGAAAGCAGUAUUAUUGCUGAUUAGCUAACCUUUCAAGCAUUUGAUCAAUAAAUGGUAAAAUAAAAUGAUCUUUUCUAGAUGCAGCAUUUAGCUUUCGAUAAUCAAUGCACAUUCUAUGUCCUGUUAUAGUUCUAGUAGGGAUUAAUUCAUCUUUAUCAUUCUUUAUAACAGUCAUACCUCCUUUCUUAGGCACAUAGUGAACCGGAGAUACCCAAGUGCUAUCUGAAAUAGGGUAGAUUACACCCGCUUCCAAUAGUUUAAGUAUCUCCUUUUUAACUACUUCUUUCAGAUUAGGAUUCAAUCUCCUUUAAGGUUCAAUGCUAGAAUGAGAUUCAUUUUCGAGAUGGAUCCUAUGCAUGCACAAACUAGGUGAGAUUCCCUUUAUAUCAGACAAUGAAUAACCAAUUGCUCUUCUAUACUUUUUAAGUUCGGACAACAGCAGGUUCACUUCAUCAUCAUUCAAUGCAGCAUUAAUGAUCACAGGGUAAGUAGAGUUUGUUCCUAGAAAUGCGUACCUUAGCCCUUACGGAAGUGGUUUGAGGUCUACCUUAGGGGAUUUGAGCUCAGACCAGUCAUCUGAGGUAAGAGAAGGCCAUCUCGACGUGUCGUCGAGCUUGCAGGUCAAGUCUGCUUCCUUGACUUCUUCAGGAAUUGAACUGGGAAGGCCUACUCGACGUGUGGUCGAGUAGGUAGGUCGAGUCUGAUCUGAAACGUCUUCUUCCACUGUACUGACUUCUGCUACUGGCACCUCUAACUUCUCAAAGUAUUCUGAUGAUUCUUCUUCCUUAUGGGUAUCUAGCAGCUUCUUGUACCCCAAUUUCUCUAAGUGUAAGAACCCCUCUUCCCCGUCUUUGGUAAGAGCACUCUGUAGGUAGUCUUCUUCAGUAAGCUCUUCAAGUAGUUCGUCAGCUAAACGAUCCAUUUCUUCUAUGUAGAACAUUUGUCCGUCAAUGGUAGGUUUCUUCAUCGUCUUAGUGAUGUCGAAUGUCAUCUUGAAAUCUUCACCGAGGUUUAAGUUGAUCUUACCUCUUCUGACAUCAAUGAGAGCUCCAACAGUAGCUAAGAAAGGUCUCCCUAGUAUGAGAGGGUCCUUUGGCUCUUCAUCCAUUUCUAAAACAACAAAGUCUGUAGGGAUCUCUACCCUUCCUAUUCUGACAGGUAGAUCCUCUAACAUACCAUGAGGGACUCUUACGGAUCUGUCGGCUAAGAUUAGUUGGAUUUGGCAGGACUUGUACUUGUUGAAACCGAGUCUUUUUGCUACUAAGAGUGGCAUCAAACUGACUGAUGCACCUAGAUCACAUAGGCAUUUGUUGAAGAACAAAGGGCCUAGUGAACAGGGUAGAGUAAAUGAGCCGGGAUCCCCAAGCUUCUUUGGUAUGAUCUUCUGCUGUAUGAUAGCACUGCAUUCAUGGCUCAACACAACCUUUCCUUGUACUUCCUGAAUUCUCUCCAUUACCAUGUCUUUUAAGAACUUGUGAGAAUCUGGAAUUAGCAUGAAAGCAUCAAUGAGAGGCAUCCUUACUUCAAGUUUUUUGAUGUGUUUAGCAAACAUGGCUCUGUACUUCUCAAUGAUGUCCCUCUUGAAUCUUCCUGGGAAUGGUAUUUUGGGCUUGUAGGGUGGUGGAACGAAAGCUUUCUUCUUACCCUUAUCAACAGUCGGUUUUUCAAUUUGGGGACUCUUAGCUUGAUCCCUAGGUCUAGUAUCCUGGUCAAGCUUAGUGGUGUCUUCUACUUGAGUUUCAUUCUGAAUAGAAUCCUCCCCUUCUUGAAUCUCACUGUCCUCAGUGACAGGAGCUUGGUUAGGUCGAGCACGCAGCUCUCGACCACUGCGGAGUUGAAUUGCAUGGGCAUACUCCUUUGGAUUCUGAAUAGCUUUCCCAGGUAGUUGUCCGGGAUGUGUAGGUGCAGAAGUAGAAGUAGCUUGGCUCUCCAUGUACUUCACCUUGGAGUUUAGAGCCUCAAUCUUGACAUGUAGAUCAUUGUAGGAGCAGUCAACUUUGUUUUGCAUCUUAGCCAUUUUCUUAUCACCAGAUGCUUGACCGUGUAGAAUCUGCCGAAGCAUUUGCUUCAUGUCUUGAUCGUGUGCAGGUGGAGCUGGCUGGGGUUGCUGUGCAAAACCGGGUGGUGGAUUAUAUUGUUGAUAACCGCCAUUAAACUACUGCUUUGGGACAAAGCCGUGAUUUUAUGGUAUGAAUGGCUUGGACUGGUUCUGUUGUUGCUGAGGGUAAACUUGAUCAUGAGGGUUUGCAACAUUCAUGCUCUGGUAAGAUAGAUUAGGAUGAGCCGGCUUGUAGGGGUUGUAGCCCUUGUUGUAGCCACCUUGGUUCUGAAUGUAGCUGACUUCUGCAGCGUGAGUAUUCUCCCCCUCUUGGAUUUGAUAGUGCUCUUCUUCAGUGAUAUAGUGGAUUGGCUUCUGUUGAGUAAGCAUAAUUUUAUCCAGCUUGUCGUUGAGAGCCUGAAUCAUGUCCUUAUUAUGCUUUGCAUCCGGAUCUCCAAUACCUCUGUUGGAGCGAUCAAAAUCCUCGUUAUAGUUACCAUCGGAUAGAGCUAAGUUCUCUAUCAAUUCCCAGCCUUCCUCAACAUCCUUAUUCAAGAAAUUCCCAUUAGAGGCAGUGUCUAGCAACAUUCUGAUCUUGGGCAAAACUCCCAUGUAGAGUGUGCUGAGUAGUGAAGCCUUCUUGAAACCAUGGUGUGGACACUGUAUAGUGUAGCCUUUGAAUCUCUCCCAGGCCUCACAAAUGGAUUCAGACUGGUUUUGGGUAAAACUGGAGAUUUCAUUCUUAAGACGUGCAGUUCUUGAAUUUGAGAAGAACUUUGUUAAGAAGGCCUUCUUGCAAUCGUCCCAAGAUGUGAUGGAGCCAGCAGGUAGUGUCUUCUCCCAGUUGUUGGUGUCGGAUCCCGCACCAGAAGUUCGAGACCAACCAAAGAUUGCCACAUAAUCAGGGUAGCGGCCCAUAAAGGAUAAAGCCCAUCAGACCCACGAGUCAAAAGAACAAUCGAAGUGGUAACCACCAUAAUGAAAAUUCGAAGUGACUGCAUCUCGACACGAGUCCGGAGACGAGGUCUUGGUUAAGUCGGUCCAAGGACAUUUGGGCCGAAAGGCGAGGCCCAUAAAGACCAGAGUCAACUCAAAUUCAAACGUUGAGCAUUAAAAUUAAGGAAUCAAAACGGACACAUUUAAGAAGGAAUAAUUGUACUUAAUUACUCAUUUUAAUGUCGUUUCUCUAUGUAUAAAUAUGGAGGCCAAUGGCCAUGUAAAGGGGAUAUCUCUCUUUUGAGCAAGAAAUACGAUAGCAAUUUUUGUAUUCAAAAGCCUUUUACGUUCUUAUUUUUUGUCCCUCAAGAAUAAUCUUUCCUACUAAUAAAAAUACUUGAGUGUGUGAAUCCGACAGCCACAUUUUGGCGCCGUCUGUGGGGAGAGAAGGUUCUUGAGUGGUCAGAUUUUUUCUUUAUUAUACUUCCGAGAUAAGCAACAAUGUCCGGAGGAGACGCCGUUGAGACAUCAUUGGCCGAAACCCUCAAAGCUAUGCAGCAAACCAUGUCGGACAUAUCACAAAAGUUCUCGGAUGUGGAAAAGGCCGUCGAUACGUUGCAAACAUCCCAGGUAUCUCUUAGUCAAAACGUCAAUACUAUACAAACUCGUGUUCGCUCUUUAAGUGCAGGAAACCUUGUGGGAAUCCGAAGAGGGAUAUUCAACUCGCCAAGUUCCGCUGCACGAAAUGAAACCAGCGGACAAACAACUCCCGGUGCUACUAAUAAUGUAGCUCAGACGUUGGAAGAAGAGACACAGCUCGGAGAUGAAGAACAACUUGCAGCUCAAUACAAGCAGGAGAACCUCGACCAGUUCGAGACCAUGAGGAAGGUUAGCCAGGAAUUAAAAGAAAUGAAAUCAAAAUUUCAUCAAGCUACAAGUUCGGAGCCAGACAUCAAUCGAGUCAUUGAAGAAACUAGGCGAACACCUUUCAUCUCGCGAAUUGCAAGUUUGAGGAUCAAAGAUUCCUGGAAACUCAAGUUGGACCCUUACAGCGGAUUGGAGGAUCCAAAAAGCUAUCUCGCAGCUUUUCUGAUCGCUGCUGGAAGAGUCGAAUUGGAUGAAGCUGAUGAGGACGCAGGUUACUGCAAGCUUUUUUCGGAAAAUCUAUGUGGCCAAGCUCUAAUGUGGUUCACCCAAUUAGAGCCGGGUUCGAUCAGCAAUUUCGACGAACUAUCAGCCGUAUUCUUAAAGCAAUAUUCCAUCCUUAUGGAUAAAAGCGUUUCGGAUGCCGAUCUUUGGAACUUAUCGCAAGGGUCAAGUGAGUCACUUCGAGUUUUCAUCACCAAGUUCAAAGGAGUGCUGUCAAAGCUCCCAAGAAUCUCACAGCAAUCAGCUUUAUCUGCCCUACGAAAAGGAUUGCGACAUGAUUCAAGGUUUAAAGAAGAUUUAAUACUUCAUAAGCCAGACACAAUUCAAGAUGCACUCUUCCGUGCAAACAAUUGGAUGGAAGUAGAGGACGAGAAAGAAAAUUUUGCCAAAAGAAAUAAGCAAGAAAAGCCGGCAAUCACCGUCCCUACCAAGAAGUUCGAGCCUAGGGAGAGCAAAGGACCAAGAAAAUUCGGGUCGCAACCCUUCAACAGUACUGUCGGAAAGCAAUUCCAAGGAAAAAGGAAGGUCAAACACUUGGGUCCGCGACGAAAGUUUAUAUUGCGAUAUUCAUAAAGUAACCGGACAUUUAACCAAGGAUUGUAGUGUCCUUAAAAGGCACCUUGCGGAGCUUUGGGCCAGUGGAGAUCUUUCCAAAUUCGAUAUAAAAGAUUUUGUGAAGGAAUACCACGAAGCAAAGGAAAACUCCAAAGAUCAAGAUUCCAAAAGACCAAGGUUAUCCAACGAGGAAGAACCAAGGAGUUCGAAGGGUAAGAUCAAUGUGAUUCUAGGAGGCUCCAAAUUUUGUCGAGAUUCGAUAAGUUCCAUCAAAAAACAUAGACGAAAUUGUCUUACUCAAAGCAAGCUUGAGCGAAGAAGUUGAUUUUCAAGGUGCCUCAAUAUCAUUUAACGAAGAAGAAACGCGGCAUCUCGAAAGACCGCAUGAUGAUGCUCUAGUCAUUACCCUUGAUGUUGCUAACUUCGAAGUAUCAAGGAUCCUUAUCGAUACAGGCAGUUCGGUCGACUUGAUCUUUUUAAGUACUCUAGAAAGAAUGGGAAUCAGCCGAGGAGACAUAGUAGGACCCCCAUCUCCAUUAGUUGCGUUCACAAGCGAGUCAGCCAUGUCUCUCGGAACAAUCAAGCUACCGGUCCUUGCCAAGAAGGUAUCGAAGAUCGUGGACUUCGUUGUCUUCGAUAAGCCCGCAGCUUACAACAUCAUCCUCGGGACUCCCUUGAUUUAUCGAAUGAAAGCAGUCCCCUCUACAUACCAUCAAUGUAUCAAAUUUCCAACAUCAAAUGGGGUGGAAACAAUUCGGGGAGAUCAAGAAGCUUCACGGACGUGUUACUUAGCUAGCCACCGUUUGAAGAUCCAAUAGCAAUUAACAAAGCCCGCAAAAGAAGGACUAAAGCAAAAAUUUCCUAGUGGGCAGGAAAAAGAGGAUGUAGUAGUCGAAGUGGUAUUGGAAGAAGACAAACCAGAUCGGAAAGUCCGAAUUGGAGCAACUUUGACUGGCCAAAUAAAAGAAGCUUUGGUCGAACUUUUAAGGAGAAACAAAACAUCGUUUGCAUUGUCAGCAGCAGACAUGCCUGGUAUAGAUCCAAAUAUAAUUUGUCACGAGCUAAACGUGGAUCCGAGCUUCAAGCCGAUGAAACAGAAAAGAAGAAAGCUCGGAGUGGAGCGAGCCAAAAUAGUAAAUGACGAAGUGGAUAAACUUUUGAAGAUAGGGUCCAUAAGAGAAGUGCAAUACUCGGAAUGGGUAGCAAACACUGUCGUUGUCAAAAAGAAGAAUGGGAAAGAUAGGGUUUGCAUCGAUUUCACAGACCUAAAUAAAGCAUGUCCCAAAGAUAGUUUCCCGCUCCCACAUAUAGAUCGACUUGUAGAGUCCACCGCUGGGAACGAGCUGUUAACAUUCAUGGACGCCUUCUCGGGUUAUAAUCAAAUAAUGAUGAACCCCGAAGAUCAAGAAAAGACGUCAUUUAUCACAGAUAGAGGUAUCUAUUGUUAUAAGGUGAUGCCUUUUGGUUUGAAAAAUGCAGGAGCAACUUAUCAACGGUUGGUUAACAAGAUGUUCCAUAAUCAUCUCGGGAAAACAAUGGAAGUCUAUAUAGAUGAUAUGUUCGUUAAAUCGUUAAAGAAAGAGGAUCACGUUAAGCAUUUAGAGGAAUGUUUUGAUAUUCGCAAUAAAUAUCAAAUGAAGCUGAACCCGGCGAAGUGCACAUUUGGAGUCCCAUCCGGAGAAUUUCUUGGUUAUAUCGUGACAGAAAGAGGGAUUGAAGCCAAUCCAAAUCAAAUUAACGCCUUUCUAAACAUGCCCUCUCCAAGAAACUUCAAAGAAGUACAACGGUUGACUGGGCGGAUUGCGGCUCUGAAUCGUUUUAUCUCGAGAUCAACAGAUAAGUCGUUGCCUUUCUACCAAAUUCUAAAAGGGAACAAAGGAUUCCUUUGGGAUGAGAAGUGUGAAGAAGCUUUUGGGCAGCUUAAGGCAUACUUAACCACUCCACCUAUAUUGUCCAAACCGGAAGUGGAUGAAAAACUUUAUUUGUACGUAUCGGUUUCAAACCACGCGGUUAGUGGAGUCUUGGUUCGGGAAGACCGUGGGGAGCAGAAACCAAUUUACUACGUGAUCAAGUCAAUGACGGAUCCGGAAACCAGAUACACAAUGAUGGAAAAACUUGCACUCGCGGUGGUAACUUCGGCUCGGAAGCUGCGCCCAUAUUUUCAAUCCCAUCCGGUUGAAGUAUUAACUAACCAACCACUCCGAACAAUACUUCAUAGUCCAAGUCAGUCCGGACGUUUGGCGAAAUGGGCGGUGGAGUUAAGCGAGUACGAUAUAGAAUUCAAAAGCCGGAUCAGUAUGAAAGCUCAGGUUCUAGCAGAUUUCUUAACCGAGCUACCAAUACCUGGAACGAUAGAGCAUUCGGAGAACCAAACUUGGAAAUUACACGUAGAUGGGUCUUCAACAAAGCAAGGAUCCGGAGGGGGAAUCAAGUUGGAAUCUCCAACAUCAGAAAUUCUAGAACAAUCAUUCCGGUUGUUAUUCAAUGCCUCCAACAACGAGGCAGAGUACGAAGCCCUGAUUGCCGGACUUCGAUUAGCACAAGGAGUUGGAGCUAAGGAAAUAUUGGCUUAUUGCGAUUCGCAAUUAGUAGUUAACCAGUUUAAUGGUGACUAUGAAGCCAAAGACUCAAGAAUAGAAGCGUACCUCGAAGUGGUGAAGGAUCUAUCUAAAAAUUUCUCGAAAUUCGAAUUAAUCCGCAUACCUCGGGAAGAGAAUACAACUGCGGAUGCACUUGCCGCAUUAGCGUCAACAUCAGAUCCUGAGUUGAAAAGAGUUAUUCCAGUGGAAUGCAUUUCGGAGCGAAGCAUUCAAGACAACAAAGAAACCCUCGUCGUUACAAGGUCUCGAGCAGCGGCACGCGACCGUGGCGAACCAGAGAUCGAACCACCACCCAACAAACAGAGGAAGUCAAGGGGAUCAAAUACAUCUAACAAGGAACCCGUUGUCUUAGCUGAAGAUGUGAUUCCAGAAACAAUAUUAGAAAUCGAACCGUUAAUCGAGGAGGAUGUUCUUGAACCAAACGAACAUCCCGAGCCAGAGCCACGAGUAUUUCACAAGGUUGACCAAAUUCCGGCUAAAGACUGGGGGGCUGACUGGAGGGAGCCAAUAAAGCACUACAUUAUGACAGGCGAGCUCCCAAAGAAUAAGUGGCAAGCCAGAAAAAUCGUUAGCGCGAAAUUUUGUCUGUCAAAAGACACAUUGUAUAGACGAGGUGUCAGUGACCCUUACCUAUUAUGCAUUUUUGGGCCCAAAGUCGAAAUCGUUAUGAGCGAAGUGCAUGAAGGAUUAUGUGGGAGUCAUUCAUCAGGACGGGCCAUGGCUUUUAAAGUUAAAAGAAUGGGAUAUUAUUGGCCCACUAUGAUUACAGAUUGUGUUAAGUUCGCCCAAAGAUGCAAGCGCUGCCAACUCCAUGCACCAUUGAUCCAUCAACCGUCAGAAUUAUUCUCCUCCAUUUCCGCCCCAUACCCGUUUAUGAGGUGGUCAAUGGACAUCUUUGGACCAUUGCACAAAUCAACUCGAGGUGUACAAUACCUUUUAGUCCUUACGGACUACUUUUCGAAAUGGAUUGAAGCUGAGGCGUAUGUUGGUAUCAAGGAUUCGGCGGUGAAGACCUUUAUUUGGAAAAACAUUAUAUGUCGACAUGGAGUUCCAUACGAAAUAGUCACUGAUAAUGGACCACAUUUCAUUUCACACGAGUUUGAUGUCUUUUGUGCGGACUAGGAAAUCAAAGUUAGUUAUUCUACUCCACGAUAUCCGCAAGGAAACGGUCAAGCUGAAGCCGCGACAAGACAAUAUUAAGCAAUCUCAAGAAACGCUUAAGUCAUCUAAAGGGAGGAUGGUAUGAAGAACUCCAACCCGUCCUGUGGGCCUAUCGUACAACUCCUAGGCGACCUACAGGAGAAACUCCAUUCUCUUUGGUUUAUGGCAUGGAGGCGGUAGUACCAGCUGAACUCAAUGUGCCCGGACUUAGCCGAACAGAAGCACCGUUAAAUGAGGAAGAAAAUUCAGCAAUGCUUAAUGAUUCACUAGAUACCAUAAAUGAAAGGCGUGAUCAAGCUCUAAUUCGGAUCCAGAAUUACCAGCAGGCAGCAGCCCGGUAUUACAAUUCUAAGGUUAAAAGUAGGCCGUUCUUCGUGGGAGAUUAUGUAUUAAGGCGCGUCUUUGACAACAAAAAAGAAGAAGGUCCCGGUAAACUCGGUAUUAAUUGGGAAGGACCUUACAUUAUUACCGAAGUGGUUCGGAACGGUGUUUAUAGGUUGAAAGACUUAGAAGACAAUCCAGUCAAGCGACCUUGGAAUGUGAUCAACCUAAAGAAGUUUUAUGUUUAAAGCUACAUGCAUUGUUUAUGUACAUGAACUACGGUGUGGCUUGAUCCCGAGAUGGGUACGUAGGCAGCUCGGAAACGAGUUCAGCUAUUAAUAAAAAUUUGUUUUAUUUCUUUAUUAAAGAAAAAAGGUUCGACUGUGCGAACAAGUGAAGCAAAUAAAGGUUCGGCUAUGCGAACAUACAAGAGAUUGGAAAUAGAGCGUUUAUUCAAAAGACGGAAUGUCCCUCAUCGUACACUUCGGACUAUGAAAAUCUUGUUGACGAGCAGAACACUUCAACUCCUUGACCAGCAAGAUCGAGGAUUGGCAUCAUGCAGUCCGGACACCGUAGUAAGCCUGCGUUGCAUCCGGUUAAUCCUCUUCCGGAGUCUCCUCUUUUCCAACAUAAGCUUCCGGUGUUGAAGCUCGAGUGCCUCUAUGAACGCCGUCGCUGUUCCUUGGUCUCUGAUUGGGAGAUCCCUAAUCAAAGCACAUGGGGCUCAGAUCUGAGAUCUCAAGAAGCCGCGAAGUGGAGAAGGCUGCCUGCUUGGCUCAUUUGGAACAUCUUCGUUUAUCAUUCCGAUUCUGGAGAAGUCGGGCAUAGAUUCUGAACAGCGAAGAUUGAACUCCAUACCUACUAAAAUGAAAAGAAUGGUGAGGAGUAAAGGAAAAUUGAGACUAUAAUUUAUAGGAACGUCAUAUCCCUAGCAAGCUGCGGAUUCUAUCCUAAGAAUGGAGUGAUUCGCGGAGAGAUUUAUGCCCUCGAACAGAUCCUACAUUAAAGGACGCAUCAUCGAGAAUAUUUGAAAAGUAAGGAAAAUUGCAAAUGUUUCCAUAAAUAAAAAGGGGCCGAAGUCCAUUACGAGUUCAAAAUAAGUGAAGAAGUUAGAGAACAUUUAUGGAAGAGGCUCAGGAACAGGCUCCUUCAUCGCCGGUUUAGUCUUCGAAGUGAACGCCUUGUUCUUGGCAUCCACUUCGGGAUGAUCCCGAACGCGUUUCCGACAGGUGCUGGCCUCCUCCUCGUCUUCUUCCUCGCUAUCAGAUGGAACGGUAUGGACCGGAGCAUUUACAGGACCCGGAACUCCUCUAGCACGGAGAUACAUCCGAAGCAUCUUCGGGAUCUCAGCAACAGAAUCGAAGUUCCGCCAUUCCCAUUGAAAGGGAUCACUUUCCAAAGCCCGUAUCUUCCUCUCCUCCCGAGCGAUGCGAGCCUCGAGCGUUUGCCUUUUGAGGCCCAGCCGUUGCCUCUCUUCACACAAGCGACGGUGCUUGUCGGCAAUCUAGCAUAAAGAUGAAUGAAUAAGAUGAAACAAAAAGUUUUUAAAUCAAAAACUUUAAAUAUUUACCUUGUCAAUAAAAUCGCAAGCCUCUUUCUUCUCCUUUGAAGGAAAGUGAAAGACGGCGUGGGGGAAAAGAACGCCGGCCGGUUCAAAGCCAUCGCCGGACAAAAAAAGUGGGCUGCCGGAAUCAACGGGGGCUACUUUUUCGUUUUCCAUUCUUGAAAUAUUUCUCAAGUAAGAUUAUAAAAUCGUGUUUAAAUAAAGCUUAGAAGUAGGUAAGCCUUUAUUUAUGAUGAUUUAGGAUUUGUCUUGGAACCAUAAAUCCAAUAAUGGUAGUGUGUCCGAGUGGUUUAAACCAUUUUUUGGAAAAUCGAGAAAAGGCAGUUAUUGCAUUAAAGACGAGCCGUUUUCCUUACUUAUAAGAAGGGAAAGAGCAACCGUCGCAUUAACUACAAAAGUUUCUAAGGCCCAAGCCCAAUAAAUUUAUCGAGUUGACUAAACCCGAAGUGGGGAACUCGCUUUAAGCCGAGCUCAGUUCUCGCAUUCUUAAGAGAAAGGUCUGAUCAGCCUAAAAAUCUCAAAAGCAUAACCACAAGGCCACAAAAGGUUAAAAGCGGACUUUGCAAACCCGCAUAUAAUUUUAACCAAACCCCCUUGGGUCAUAACCUAGAAAGGUUUAAAAGCCUCCUCAGGCAAAUAUCUUGUUCAAAAGAAAUGAUAAAGCCUCCUUAGGCCAAAAAUAAGUUCGAAAUUAAGUUUAAACUAAAUGGGACAAUCCCCAGUUUAAAGUGGACACAGCCACUACGGAUCGACCUCCCCAGUCAAGCUCGAUAAGUUGGUUGUUCAGGGUAUCGGCGGUUGAUUCGGAUUCAUGAAGUCUACCCUGAACACCAGAAAGUUCAUCUUGGAGUUUGUAAUUCCGGUCGUACUGGUCUUGCAGCUCCCCCUUUAUCUGCACAAGCUCAGAUGUUAAACUGUCGACCUUGUCCUCCAGAUCGUGCUUGGAGCCGGCAGAAGAACUGAGUUCAGCCUCAAGAGUAGAGAAUUUCUUCUUCCACAUGUCAAUCUCCUUCUCCCGUCCAAUGACCAACCCUUCGUAAUGUUCAAUCAUGUUGUAAAUUCGCUGUGAGCCUGGCAUUAUAUAUAAACCCGGGAUGGCGAGUCAGUUUGCAGAAUGGCAAUACAUAAAAAAAAAAACAAAGAACGGAACUAACCCGAGAUGAAUGAUGAGCGUGAAGCAAAUAGCGUUCACGAAUUGCAGGGUGCCACUUGUCGAAGUCUGGCAAGAUCGAACCCGAUCGGGUCUUGAAGCAUUGGAAGACGCUGCCUUCUUUCUCCAUAGCUGCGAAGAAGGAAGAGUUGUAAAAAUUGGAAUCUUAAUAGAGACAAAAAUGUUUAAGUAUGUGUAAGUCACCAAACCUGAAAGCGAUUUGAUUUGAGGGACAAGAGUAGGCUUUAACCUCAAGGAAGCAUCUCGAGAUUCAGAAUCUCCCUUUUUAGGAGAUGCACUGCGAGCAGUCUUUUCGCUGUCGGGCUGGGAAGAAGAAGACAUGUCAACAGGUCGAGGAGGACCCAUUGGUUCAGUGGGAGGGGAUGAUCGAGGUGAACGAUCAGUCCGGGCCCUUGAUUUCUCCCUUCGCGGAGAUGAGUCACCACGGGACGACUUGUCCCUCUUCCUACGAACCAAAUUCUUAAGUGGUUCGUUGCUGAAAUCGUCUCAGGGAGGACGAGGAGAAUCGCGACGAGGAGACCGCUCUCUCCGAGGAGAACGUUCGUCAUGACGUUCGCGACGAGGUGUUAGCCUAUAAGCAGCAACGGAUCUGGUUCCCUCGGAGCUGUUAUCAUCAACCAGCAGGGUCCUGCUGUAAUCUUUUUUGUCAAUGGCAGCCGCAAGGAACGCCUUGUUUUCAUCACAAGCCUCUGCUAUCGGCUUGGAGAGUUUCUUACGCUGGGCAGUAAGGGCCCGAGCUGACAUGCCCUGAGUUGAGGGAGGAGGCGGAAGACGAUGAAGUAGAUUGGGAGGACUCAUCCUGAGUUUUCGGUUGACCUCGAUAAACCGAUCGAGGGUGAAAGAAUUCCAAAGGGUUUCCCCUUCGAGGAUUGUUCUGAAGAACUUGACAAAUUCUUCAGUCGGGAGAGUUGAAGCGAUAAGAACUGCGAAGUGAAACAACUAAUUUGGUCAGUAAAAAAAUAAUAAAAUGAACAGGAAAGGAAUAUACGACCUAGUCUCUACCAGGCUUCGUAGACCACUUCGAUGGGAGUACAUCGGAAAGAUUCCCAAUCGAAGCAGGAGUUUUCUUAAUCAGGAACCAAGGAUGGUGCCAGUUUUCAUCCUUGUUCGGGAGGUGCGAAAUGACGUUCCUGUUGGCAUUUGGAUACGCCAAGAAGUACCCAGUUUUCUUUGAUGAACUCCUUACGCUUAGGAGUUCAUUCAGCUCGGGGACUCCAAUGACGUAGCCAGCCUCCGCCGCAACGGUUAUAAUCCCGAGGAUGGUUCGGAGGAGAUUGGGGGUUAAUUGAGGUAAAGCAAUCUCGAGAGCCGCCAAGAAUCGAACUAGGGCUUCGAGAAGGGGGAAGGUCAAUCCGCAGCCCUUGAAGUAAAUUUCGUAAACACAAAAGUAGCCGUCACGGUGGUUCUCCGGGGAUUCCGUAGGAUCGGCUAUUUGAGCCUCCGCUAUAAUUCCAGGAGGAAUUUGACAAAGCCCCUUUAAUCGCUCAAGGGAUUGAAGAGUACAGGUGGAUUUGUAAUGAGGACCGGCGAUAUCGUUAGGACGAGUGCAUUCGUCAUUACUAGAACGCCUCUCAUCAUAAGACAGAGAUUCAGGUCUCUCAGAAUCAGAAGUCAUUGGAGGAAAAUGAAAAGUUCAAGGUUCGGCGAAGAAAGUUUCGGCGAAGAAAAGUAGAGAGAAGUUUUGAUCAAAGCACAAAAGUAAAAGAAGAAAAUGAUGGUGAAAAGAAGUUACCUCACGCAAACUAAAUGAUGAAACCGCCUCGGAAGUUGUGUGGGAAGUGGGAAGGUUUUUCCCGUUUUAAUAGUAAAUAAUUAAUAUACGGUCGUAAUGAUGACAGAUGUCACUCGGAUAAAAAUGGCUAGUGCCGAAAUUAAAGGAGUGAUGAGAUUUUCGGCGGGAAAUCAGAAAGAUUCUCGAGCGCAAUCUUUGGUCAUUCAAGCAUUUAAAGUCCUCCGAAUUGGGAUGGCACUUCGAAGAACUUGGGGGGCUAAUUGUUGGUGUCGGAUCCCGCACCAGAAGUUCGAGACCAACCAAAGAUUGCCACAUAAUCAGGGUAGCGGCCCAUAAAGGAUAAAGCCCAUCAGAUCCACGAGUCAAAAGAACUAUCGAAGUGGUAACUACCAUAAGGAAAAUUCGAAGUGACUGCAUCUCGACACGAGUCCGGAGACGAGGUCAUGGUUAAGUCGGUCCAAGGACAUUUGGGCCGAAAGGCGAGGCCCAUAAAGACCAGAGUCAACUCAAAUUCAAACGUUGAGCAUUAAAAUCAAGGAAUCAAAACCGACACAUUUAAGAAGGAAUAAUUGUACUUAAUUACUCAUUUUAAUGUCGUUUCUCUAUGUAUAAAUAUGGAGGCCAAUGGCCAUGUAAAGGGGAUAUCUCUCUUUUGAGUAAGAAAUACGAUAGCAAUUUUUGUAUUCAUAAGCCUUUUACGUUCUUAUUUUUUGUCCCUCAAGAAUAAUCUUUCCUACUAAUAAAAAUACUUGAGUGUGUGAAUCCGACAUCUACACCAGUGGUGUGCUUUGUCUCCCAGCGAGAAGGGAAACAGACGCAGCUUGAAGCCGUCUUCACUAACACCAUUGAUCUUGGUGAGGCUGCAGAGCCUAUCAAAAUUAUCCAAGUGAUCCAAGGGAUCUUCCAGAGGCAACCCAUGAAACUUGUUACCUUUAAUCAUUGAGAUCAAUCCACUCUUGAUCUCGAAAUUGUUGUCUUGGACAGGAGGUGGAACGAUGCCCUGUCUCUGUUGAUGGUUGCGUGGUGCAUCACCAUCACCAAUGUUCCGUGGUAUACCAACUCCUUGAUUAUCUUGAUCUUGUGGUUCCAUGGCUACUGGAUUGUGCGGUUCACAAUCGUCUCUGGCUCGACCUUCUCUUAACUCACGAGCUAACCGAUCGAUGUUAUCUUUAUAGCUGAUGAGGUUGUUGGAGCCUUUAGAACGAGUUUGCAUGCAAAGUGGUUAGCCUCGACGUCUAGACUCGACCUGUGGUCGAGUAGAGUACCUGCAGCAUAAAAACAAGCAGAUGAAAUGAAGGGUUAGUAACCAAAGUAAAGAAAGAACUUGAUCUUAGCAAUUCUAAAAUCUUGAAUGUAACAAGCAGACACCCAAAUGGCAACGGCGCCAAAUUGAUACUAGGAUUUUUACUAUCAAUUACCCUAGAUUACUAUCAUGUCAUUGCAGCAAUUUAGGUUAUCAAUCCAAUCAGGUGCUCUAAUUAUCAAUCAAGAUAUGCUCAGAGAUAACUAAGUCAAGCCAAGCAGAAUAGAGGGUUGUUUAUCUAACAAUCCUAAGCGAUCAUGCAUAAAAACGAAUAAACUACAGAACAGGAAUGAACAUGCAUAAAGAGAAACAACUAUCAAAACUAAGCAGUAAUAAGCAAGCAGGUCGAGUAGAACACAGAAGCUAACAGAAACAAUAAACGAGCAAGCAAUAGAGAUAAAGGGUCUUGAGGAAUGGGGUAAUCGAUUAUAGCAGUCUCCUUAGUCUAUCUAGGUGGUUAACAAACUCAAUCAAGCUAUCCCUAGACAAUAGAUUCGAAUACAAAUCAAUCCACUCUCGUGACAGAGAUUCUCAAGCUAAAUCACUUUCAUACUCAAUUCUCAUUGAAGAAAUAUAACCUAGCAGGCAUUAUGAUUCAAUCUAAUAAAGUCAAUAAGAAUUCUAAACAUCCAAUCUCUUGGGCUAGAGUAUGCAAAUCUCUGGAAUAGUUAGUUCAGACAUUUCAUCAAACACCUUGUGGGUGUGGAAAUGUCUGAGAUCAACUUCCAAUUGAUCAGAGAGGAAAUAGCAUUAAGAUCUACUAAACCAGAAGGGAAAUCAAGCAAUUCUACACUUAACCACCUAAAUAAACUAAGGAUUCCACACCUGAUCUAACCUAUCCUCAAGAACCCUAAUCCACUACUCAAGAACACUGAAGAACAUCAUGCAUAAAAACCCAGAAAACAUUUCAAACCCAGAAUUCAUUAAAAAGCAAGUAUGUUAUAGAUUAGAAGGAGAUCUACAACUUUGAUGAAGAAACGAAAUUCAAAAACUCAAAGAUUCAAAGGGAAAAACGAUUACAAAACUAGGGUUUUUAGAGAGAGCAGCGGAAUAUCUGCUGGGUAAAAGGAAUAUCCGCUGGAUAAUAGCGUGAACCCCUAUUUAUAGGAAAUACUAGGUUGCCCUAAUUAACUACAAGACAAAAUAGAGAGUCGGCGGAGGACCGACUCGAUGUGACGUCGAGCCCGUGUCGUCGAGUCCAUGUAAUUCUUAAAGGUGGCGCCUUGAUGUCCAACUCGACGUGUCGUCGAGUCCAGGUGCUCGAGUCCAUUCCUCCACAGCUUCUUCACGUCCUACUAGACUUGGAGCCGAGCCUGGUAAGUCGAGUCUGUCCUUUGGUGGUCUCUGAGCACCUGCUCGACCUCAUGUCGAGUCCAUGACGUCGAGUCUGGUUCUGGAUACUCUUGAAUGGCUUCAUUCCUCUCCAACUCGAUCCCAAGUCUAGCUCCAAGGUUGUGUUGGCUCCUCCUUGCUCCAUUAAGUCCCAAAAUAAACCCCAAAGCACCUGAAACUCAUCCAAUAUGCAACAUGCUAUGCCAUGCAAUGCAAAUCGUACUAAGUGAUGAAAAUGAUAUAAAAUGGACUCUGGAUGCAGUGAAAGAGAGGUGAAACUUAGCUAAAUGCACGAGAAAAGUGUGCUUAAAAGUGGUAAAAUACAGAGACAUCAGUUAGACAUCUUGUCACUACAUCUAAAGAUUAAAACUUGUUGCGUGCAAGUGGGUCUUCGUGUUAAAAAGAUAAAAUCACACGAUAUAAAUCCCGACUUGUUGCACAAGAUUUUUCUCAAAGACUUGGAGUUGAUUACAUUCAGGUACUUAACGCGCCUAAAGGUCUCUUAUAAUUAGAAAUGUACCUUAAGGAUAUAGUGACUACAUAUUUAUUGGAUAACGAUAUAUAGAUAAAAAUACUAGAAGGAUGUAAAGUUCUUGAGCCAUUAGACUCAAAGUCAAAAUGAAAUAUGUACGGUCAAAUUACAGCGAUCAAGUUACGGAUUAAGGAGGGGUUAUUGGUUCAUGGAUUUAUAAAGAAUUAGAAAUCCAAACAAAAAUCAUUUGUUAUUCGAUCAUUGAUUUUAAAAUCUUAAUUAAAAUCAUGUGUUAUUGGUUCUAUGAAUUAUAAAUACUAGUUGAAAUCCUUUGUUAUUCGUUUAAUCAUUUGUUUUUGGAUUUGAGAAUCCAAAUUAUGUUUUAAAUGGAUUUGAAUGGAAUUGAAAGAGAAAAAUAGAAGGAUUCAAAUCCAUGGGUAAACACAUGUUAUUUCAAAAUCCAUAUAUCUUGAUUUCAUAAUUAAUAGAAAUUUUCAAAUUCUAUAUGGAUUUACAAAUUAUAAACCAAUAACACCCCCUAAAAUAAUCCAGACACAUAUGGUAUAUCGCUUAAGCGAUUAUUUGUUAAAGAAAGGGUAUAUCUGUUAAUAACGAUAUAUGCCCUUUGUGUCUUUAUUAAGAUAUCUCUAUCGAGAGUUGUGAUCAUUGCUGUAUAUAUUGAUGACCUAAAUUGGAACUCAAAAAGAGUUAUUAAAUAUCACUUUAAAUUUAUAUAAAGAAAGAAAAUUUUAUUCAAGUACUACAUGCAUCCGUCCACACUACAGAGGUAACAUGUGUUUAUCCAUGGAUUUUAAUCCUUCUAUUUUUCUCUUUCAAUUCCAUUCAAAUCCAUUUAAAACAUAAUUUGGAUUCUCAUAUCCAAAAACAAAUGACUAAACGAAUAACAUAGGAUUUUAACUAGUAUUUAUAAAUCAUAGAACCAAUAACACAUGAUUUUAAUUAGGAUUUUAAAAUCAAUGAUUGAAUAACAAAUGAUUUUUGUUUGGAUUUCUAAUUCCUUAUAAAUCAAUGAACCAAUAACCCCUCCUUAAUUUACGUUGAAUUUAUUUCACUUUAUUUAAAUUCAUUUAAUUUUGCAUGCAUGUUGCAUAUUUGAGUUGUUUUCAGGUGAUUUGGAGCUGUUGGUGAGCAAAUUGGAACAAGUGGACCAGAACCCAUCAGUAUGCUCGACCACGAGGUCGAGCACCAUCAUCAUGACCUUCCAAAUGCACUCGACCACGACCAAGUCGAUCACCAACUCGAGCACCAAGUCGAUCACCAACUCGAGCACCAAGUCGAGCACCAAGUCGAUCACCAAGUCGAUCACCAAGUCGAUCACCAAGUCGAUCACCAAGUCGAGUACCCUCUCCUUCACCAACUCGACCUACCACUCGACCUCGUGGUUGAGUACCAGCUCCUUCACCAAGUAGACCACGACUCCAGAUCACGACUCGAGCACGCAGUCGAGUAUCCUCCACCAACUUACUCGACCAAGCACUCGACUGCACGCUUCAGAGGCUUCUCAGAUCCCAACUCAACCAGAUACUGAGCAUAAGGAAGAGAAGAAGAUGAAGCGGGACUCGAGUGCAUACUCGACCUAGUCACUCGAUCGCAUCACGACCAGAUCAAGAAACCGCAAAGGAGCCAGCUUUGCUCGACCUCUUCACUCGAUUGCACGAAGCCGAAUGUCUCCGUAAACCGCCUUAAUACUUUGUCGUCUUGUGAUUUAGGGUUUCCUAGUAUUUGCUAUAAAUAGGUUGUUUCUCAUAAUUUUCAGACUAAGUUUUAUUCUGUCUAAGUUUUAUUCUGCAGAACAAUUAGUGCUUUCUUCAUAUUUGUAAUCCAGAUUUCUCUUAAUCUAUUGAGUAUUUGCUAUUGAUUUCUUCUACAAAGUUGUUCAUCUUGUUGAGAUCUUGCUAAUAUGAAGUUUUUAUGUAUUUCUGGGUUUGUGUUCUUGGUUAUGAAUUUUGAGUAGUGAUUAGGGUUCUUGAGGAUGGGUUAGAGUAGUUUAGAAUCCUUGAUCUGCUAGGUGGUUGAGUUUGAUUGGUAGAUCCCUUCUGGAUUAGUUGUUCUUAAUGCUGAUUGCUUUCUGAUCAACUGGAAUCUGAGCCCAGACAUUUCCGCACCCAAAAGGUGUUCGAUGAAAUGUCUGAACCACUAAUUCCAGAGAUUCGUGGCUCUGUACCAAGGUAUUGGUUACAGGGAGCGUUUUGACUUAGACUUGUUGUUUCGUAAUGCCUGUUAGGUUAGCUCUCGUCAAUGGUGAUUGAGUCUGGGACUAGCUUUGCUUGAGGAUCUCUGUUGCGGUAGCACUUUGAUUUGGCUAUUGAACUUGUUGUCUAGGGAUAGUUUGUUGAGCAUGUUAACCACCUGUUAGAUUAAGGAGACUUCACUACUCGAUUACCCCAUCCUCGGGAAUUUCUCUUCCAAUUGAUUUCUUUGUUCACAUCGCUAUUGAUUGCUUGAUCUCGUUACUUGUUGUUUAGUUUUUGCAUUUUUUACUUAUUUCACUUGAAGUACUCGACCACACCCAGCGGUUUGGAAACGGACUGUGCAGUCGAGUACAUUUGUUGCAGUUUCUGUUUGGUACUCGACCUGGCACUCGACCACAUCCAGUGCUUGGCAUCAAGCUGUGUGAUCGAGUGUGUUAUCUGUUUCUGUUAGAAUUAUUGUUUUCUGCAUGAUCACUGGAACUGUUAAUAACAUCAAAACCUGUUAUUGCUUGGCUUGACUCUGUGAAAUCUGAUUGCAUCUUGAUUGCUAGCAUCACACCCAUUUGGAUUGACACCUUAAAUACUGCAAUGACAUGAUAGUACUUUAAGGAUAAUUGAUCUUAGUUAAACUCCUACUAUCAAUUUGGCGCCGUUGCCAUUUGGGUGUUUGUUUGUUACAUUUGAGAUUUCAGACUUGCUUAGAUCAAGUUCUAUUUCAAUUUUCACUUAGGUUACUAACUUUUUGUUUUUCUUGUUGUCUUCUUGAUCCAGGUACAACCCUGCUGUAUGCAAACUCGAUCAAAAGGCAACCAGAACCUCCUUUUCAACGAUAACAUUGACCGUAUUGACAGAGAACUAAGGGAAAGGGGAGACACUACAGACCUUGAACACAACCAUCCUUUCAGAAUGGCUGAUGAACAAGAUGUCAACAAUCUGCCUGCAAACAUUGGUGCUGGAGAUGCACCAAGAAACCACCAUCAGAGGCAAGGAAUUGUGCCUCCUGCUGUCCAAAACAACAACUUCGAGAUUAAAAGUGGUCUCAUCUCGAUGAUUCAAGGAAACAAGUUCCAUGGUCUGCCUCUGGAAGAUCCCUUAGACCACUUGGAUAGCUUCGACAGGCUCUGCAGCCUAACCAAGAUAAACGGUGUUAGUGAGGACAGUUUCAAGCUACGCCUGUUUCCCUUCUCACUGGGAGACAAAGCACACCAAUGGGAAAAGACGUUACCUGCUGGCUCCAUCACAUCUUGGGACGAUUGCAAUAAGGUCUUCUUAACAAAGUUCUUCUCAAAUUCAAGAACUGCAAGGCUUAGGAAUGAAAUCUCCAGUUUUACCCAAAAGCAGUCUGAAUCCAUUUGUGAAGCCUGGGAGAGAUUCAAAGGCUACACUAUACAGUGUCCACACCAUGGUUUCAAGAAGGCUUCUCUACUAAGCACACUCUACAGGGGAGUUUUGCCCAAGAUCAGAAUGUUGCUAGACACUGCUUCUAAUGGGAAUUUCUUGAAUAAGGAUGUUGAAGAAGGCUGGGAAUUAAUUGAGAACUUAGCUCAAUCCGAUGGUAAUUAUAACGAGGAUUUUGAUCGCUCUAACAGAGGUAUUGGAGAUUCAGAUGCAAAGCAUAGCAAAGAGAUGAAAGCUCUUAAUGAGAAACUGGAUAGGCUUCUCCUUGGCCAGCAGAAGCAUGUGCACUUUCUACUUGAUGACGAGCAGUAUCAAGUCCAAGAUGGGGAGGGGAACCAGUUAGAAGAGGUCAGCUACAUCAACAAUCAAGGUGGCUAUAAAGGGUAUAACAACUUCAAGACUAACAACCCCAACCUUGCUUACCGUAACACCAACGUUGCCAAUCCACAGGAUCAAGUGUAUCCUCCACUACAACAGCAGGGUCAGAAUAAACCUUUUGUUCCCUACAACCAAGGUUUUUCUCCCAAGCAACAAUUUCAGGGGAACUACCAGCAGCAACCACCACCUGGGUUUGCACCUCAGCAACACCAAGGUUCUGCUGCUCCUGAUUCUGACAUGAAGCAAAUGCUACAACAGCUUCUCCAAGGACAAGCAUCUGGCUCCAUGGAGAUUGCUAAGAAGAUAUCUGAAUUACACAAUAAGCUGGACUUUAGCUACAAUGACUUAAAUGUCAAAGUGGAGGGACUGAAUUCCAAAGUCCGAUACUUGGAAGGACAAUCUGCAUCCACUUCUACUCCAAAACCUAUAGGUCAACUUCCAGGCAAAGCAAUUCAGAAUCCAAAGGAGUAUGCCACUGCUCAUGCUAUCACUAUCUGCCAUGAUCGAGAGCUGCCAACUCGACAUGCCACCACCUCAAUCACUGAGGACAAUGAAGUUCAAGAUUCAGCUAAAAAGGCAACACAGGAGCCUAUACUCAAUCCAUCUACUCGAUCACCUACUGCAGCAUCUCAAUAUCUUGAAAAACUAGAUGCUGCAAUGACCAAGGAUACAACCUUUGUGCCACCUCCCAAGAAAUUGGGAGAUCCUGGUUCGUUUACCUUACCUUGCUCUAUAAGUCCUUUGGCCUUCAGUAACUGCCUAUGUGAUCUCGGUGGUUUUAUAAGUCUCAUGCCUCUCUCUGUGGCCAAGAGACUAGGUUUCAGCGAGUACAAACCUUUCAACAACUCCUUGAUCCUGGCUGAUGGGUAUGUUCGACUACCUCAUGGGAUAUUAGAAGAUUUGCCUAUUAAGAUUGGAAAUGUUGAAAUCCCCACAGACUUUCUAGUGCUCGAAAUGGAUGAAGAUCCGGUAAAUCCUUUAAUCUUAGGGAGGCCCUUCUUAGCUACAGCCGGAGCAGUCAUAGAUGUCAAGAAGGGGAAGAUUGAUCUUAAUCUUGGAAAAGAUUUCAAGAUGGAGUUUGACAUUAAUGAUGCUAUGAAGAAACCUACUCGACAUACCCCUAAAUCAAUCACUGAGGAUAGUGAGGUUCAAGAAGGGGAGGCUUCUAAACGGAUUGAAGUCUCAGUUAUUGAACUAAACCAUUCAGCUGAAUCCUGCCAUCAAACUCAGUCUGCCUUGGAAGAGAAAGCUUAUAUAAUCGAGAGAAUGGUAAAGCGAUUCAAGCCAAGUCCUUCACCUUCACUUGCUCUCCCAUGGACGUUCAGGAAAACUUGGAAAGACAAAUAUGAAUCUCUUGUAGAGAAACAGAUUGACGAGAUGGAAGCAGUGAUGCCAUUAAUAGAAGUCCUCAAACUGAUUCCGGACCCUCACAGAGAUGUGAGAAACUUGAUAUUGGAAAGGCUCAACAUAUAUCAAGAUUCAGGUGAUGCAUAUGAUACCAAUCCAAUUCAAGCCACUGAUGAGAGGAUUAUUCAAGAAAAGUUAGAAGAUCCUGGAUCUUUCACUCUACCAUGUUCCAUCAAGCAAUCGACUUUCAGCAAUUGUCUAUGUGAUCUAGGAGCUUCAGUCAGUCUAAUGCCACUCUCUGUGGCACGGAAGUUGGAAUUUGUCCAAUACAGGCCUUGCGACAUCACCUUGAUUCUUGCUGAUAGGACUACAAGGAGACCUUUUAGCCUGCUGGAGGAUGUGCCAGUAAUGAUUAAUGGAGUAGAGGUGCCUACUGAUUUUGUUGUGCUUGACAUGGAUGAAGAAUCUAAGGAUCCUCUGAUCUUAGGAAGACCUUUCUUGGCUUCAGUGGGAGCAGUAAUAGAUGUCAGAUAUGGUAAGAUUGAUCUCAACCUUGGGAGGCAUGUCAAGUUGCAGUUUGACAUCAACAAAACUCCAACAAGGUCAACGAUAGAGGGAAAGGGCUUGGAGAUUCAGAGAGCGGUUCCAGGAGAAGAAUUUAAAGCUGCAAGAGUGAAGGAACCAAUUCUAGUCCAGACUCCGCCUUCAAACUCAGUCGCUCGAUCGAGUAUACCUUCAGCGUUUGAUUGGCGAGAGCUCAAAAAGAAAUCUGAUCUCCAAGAAAGAACCGUUCAGAAGCUGACCCACACUGUUGAAAAGCUUAAUAACACACUAAGGGGAGCUCAAUCUCAGACCAACACUGACAUUACUUCAAGAGGGAAAGUCACUUCAGGAUGGUCAGAAGAAAAAGACUAUCCACCAGAAGAGGAAGCAACUUACUUUGAGGAAAGGGGAAUUGAGUACUCAGCUGUACAACUAUCAGAGGAGAAUGCUGAGUAUAACGAUGAGAUUAGUGAAGAAGAGGACUUCUCAAGUUCUCUCUGUCACAUAUUUUCAGCCUAAUAAGUAUGAGGAGUCAAGCUUAGAGACUUAAAACAAGCUCACUUGGGAGGAAAUCCCAUGUCUAUCUCUGUACAUAUUUUUGUUUUUUCUUGUUAUUUUUAAUGCAUUUUGGUAGUGCUUUCAGGAGUAAGUACCAACAGCUGAGUGAAGUGGAUUCUGGCUCAGAGUGUAAUAGAAUACUCGACCACAAGGGCAAGGAUCAAGUGAAACUAUGUGAUCGAGUAUCAGUGGGGAUUUAGUCUCAAGAUUUUUGAAGUUUCAACAUGUCACUCUAUCAUGCAAGGCCACAUGCUGAUGAAGAGUUGUGGUCGAGUAUAUGAUGAUUUUGGCCCAAAAUUUAAAAAAAAAAAAAAAAAAAAAAAAUCAUCACUAUACUCGAUCAACAGAAGCCACAUGGAGAAGAAGCAGAAACACAACAGCAAGACUCCUCAAUGGCUUGACAGUACACACAAGCAGGCAUUGAUGAGCACAUCAACUCAUCCUUCAGCUGAGGUAACAACUCCAUUUCUCAUUGUUUAUACCAUCUCAUGUCUUCUUUCUUUAUUUGUUUGUCCUGAGUACUCUCUUCCAAGUUUGAUCACACAGAGGACUGUGUGAUUCGAGUUUGGGGGAGGGCUCAGGAAAUAUCUGAUGUGUUUGCUUUGUUCUUGUUUUCAAAUUUUUCUUGCAUUGUGCAUAUUGUCUGCAUUCAUUUAUGUCAUUGAAAAAACCCUAAAAAUUUGAAAAAUUUCUGAAAAAGAUUUCACAAAAACAGAGUGUUCAUGUAGCUGCAUUGUCAUUUUAGGAUUGAGUCUAGAAUGUGUCAUAUAGGAUUGUUGCAUAUGCAUAGGGGAUGAUGAUGAGAUAACCUUGUAAGCUUGCUCAUUUACUGAAUGAAUUCAAUGCCCUCGUUGUUAGUUGUUUAAUGCUUGUGAUAGAACUUGAAGUAAGACAGCACCAUAUUUGGAAUUCACAACUUGACUCUCUUGUUUUAAUUGAAGCAUGCUUGAUGUGAUUCUUUUCCCUAUCUAUUAGAACCUGACCUUGACUUGUAAUUAUCAUGUCUUUGCAUUGUUGUUGAACUUGUGGCUACCAAUACACAUACUUGGAUUUUCUUUCACCUUCUACCACUCUUGCUAAUCCAAGUAGCUGAUUCCCAUCAUUGGAACAGUUUCCCCCACCCUGAACCUAACCUUUCUUUCAAACCCUGAAUAAAUUUUUGUGUGUGUGAGGCCUAUUUCCGGAUUGAGCUUGGUAGAAAGUGUUAGGUAUGAACCGACAAGAAUGGGAUCCCAUGUAGUUCUAGUCCACGCUUUUUGGGCUAGAUAGGACUAGGUGGGAGUUUUACUUUGGGUUUGGGAAUGUGUUUGGAAUAAAAAUGAGAAAGAAAGACAAGUGUUAUUGU
rnacentral:lncRNA from 1 species